rnacentral:rRNA from 1 species
UGCAAGUCGAGCGAUGAAGUUUCCUUCGGGAAACGGAUUAGCGGCGGACGGGUGAGUAACACGUGAGCAACCUGCCUCAAAGAGGGGGAUAGCCUCCCGAAAGGGAGAUUAAUACCGCAUAAUAUCAGGAUUUCACAUGAUUUUCUGAUUAAAGGAGUAAUCCGCUUUGAGAUGGGCUCGCGGCGCAUUAGCUAGUUGGUGAGGUAACGGCUCACCAAGGCGACGAUGCGUAGCCGACCUGAGAGGGUGAUCGGCCACAUUGGGACUGAGACACGGCCCAGACUCCUACGGGAGGCAGCAGUGGGGAAUAUUGCGCAAUGGACGAAAGUCUGACGCAGCAACGCCGCGUGGGUGAUGAAGGUCUUCGGAUUGUAAAGCCCUGUCUUCGAGGACGAUAAUGACGGUACUCGAGGAGGAAGCCACGGCUAACUACGUGCCAGCAGCCGCGGUAAUACGUAGGUGGCAAGCGUUGUCCGGAUUUACUGGGCGUAAAGAGUGUGUAGGCGGAUAAUUAAGUCAGGUGUGAAAUCCCGAGGCUCAACCUCGGAGGUGCAUUUGAUACUGGUUAUCUAGAGUGCAGGAGAGGAGAGUGGAAUUCCUAGUGUAGCGGUGAAAUGCGUAGAGAUUAGGAAGAACACCAGUGGCGAAGGCGACUCUCUGGACUGUAACUGACGCUGAGACACGAAAGCG